rnacentral:rRNA from 1 species
UGCCUGGCGGCAUGUUACACACGCAGUUGAACGUGAAAGCACUUCGGUGUGAGUAGAGUGGCGGACGGGUGAGUACGCGUGGGAAUCUGCCCAGUAGUGGGGGACAACUACCGGAAACGGUAGCUAAUACCGCAUACGCCCUAUGGGGGAAAGGCUUCGGCCGCUAUUGGAUGAGCCCGCGUCAGAUUAGCUAGUUGGUAGGGUAAAGGCCUACCAAGGCAACGAUCUGUAGCUGGUCUGAGAGGACGAACAGCCACACUGGGACUGAGACACGGCCCAGACUCCUACGGGAGGCAGCAGUGGGGAAUAUUGGACAAUGGCGCAAGCCUGAUCCAGCCAUGCCGCGUGUGUGAAGAAGGCCUUAGGGUUGUAAAGCACUUUCAGAAGUGAAGAAAGGCGUCGGGUGAAUAAUCUGACGUUUCGACGUUAGCUUCAGAAGAAGCACCGGCUAACUCCGUGCCAGCAGCCGCGGUAAUACGGAGGGUGCGAACGUUAAUCGGAAUUACUGGGCGUAAAGCGCGCGUAGGCGGCUUGUUAAGUCAGAU